GAUGAACGCUGGCGGCGUGCCUAAUACAUGCGAGUCGAGCGAACGGACGAGAAGCUUGCUUCUCUGAUGUUAGCGGCGGACGGGUGAGUAACACGUGGAUAACCUACCUAUAAGACUGGGAUAACUUCGGGAAACCGGAGCUAAUACCGGAUAAUAUUUUGAACCGCAUGGUUCAAAAGUGAAAGACGGUCUUGCUGUCACUUAUAGAUGGAUCCGCGCUGCAUUAGCUAGUUGGUAAGGUAACGGCUUACCAAGGCAACGAUGCAUAGCCGACCUGAGAGGGUGAUCGGCCACACUGGAACUGAGACACGGUCCAGACUCCUACGGGAGGCAGCAGUAGGGAAUCUUCCGCAAUGGGCGAAAGCCUGACGGAGCAACGCCGCGUGAGUGAUGAAGGUCUUCGGAUCGUAAAACUCUGUUAUUAGGGAAGAACAUAUGUGUAAGUAACUGUGCACAUAUUGACGGUACCUAAUCAGAAAGCCACGGCUAACUACGUG
rnacentral:rRNA from 1 species